UGUUCAUCUACAGAUUCCAAUCAACUGAUCAACAGAAAUUACUUCAUCUCUGAUCCUGACUUAUGUUAUACAAGUACCAGUGUUCUUUACAACAUCUUUUAAGGUGUUACUCAUCACACAGUUUGACGUUUUAAUUUUUCCUGUACUGCAACGAACAUUUGCUGAUUUACAAAUAGAGUAAAUUACAAAAAACCAUCAGUGAAUAGGGUUUCAAUUACCCACUAGACUACGUUUUCCUUUACUAAAAACCACCACUAUUGUGGCCAAGGUUCACUAAUAACACUAACAGCUCGUUUGGCACCCACCAUUUGAGACAAGAAUUCUGGAAUUUAUUUUGAAUUCCAGAAACGAACUUGUUUGGUUGGCACGGAUUUGGCCACAGGAAUUCAAUCUCAAAUUCCUUGGAAUCGCACUAUAACUAACCCCAAUUCCUCUCCAAAAGCCAUCAUUUCUCUGGAAUUGUCUCUCACUCUACAAAUUCAUGUGGUAGACAAACAUGAUUUUUCAACAAGGAAUUCAAAUUCAACCAAAUGAAAUUGAACCAAAAAUUGGAUUUCAUUUCAUUUCUAUCAUUUCUACCAAAUGAAAUGAAACGAUGGUUCCCAAAUGGGCUGUAAUAGUUCAAUUCAAGGUGUUUGGCGGUGAAACUGACCCGGAUGGCCCACUUGUCAGGCCAGCGUGGACCCACCAAAAAAAGAAGAACAAGAACAGCGCAACACCGUCACACAAACACACUCACAAGACACUCCUAGUCAAUGGACCAGAUGUUGUUUGUGUCUUGGAGCUCAUUCGGCUCUGGAACUUUUUGGCAGCAAUUUUAAUUACUCAUGGAUUAUCAUGCAUCUAAAUCAAGAUUUUGUUUCUUGAAAUAAAGAACAAACCCGACGAGUCGAUGACGAGAUUUGUACUAUUUUUGGCAUUUUAUUACUUCCAAGCGUAUACUAGUAGUCUAUUUUUGGUACCUGUACUAUUUAUUACUAUUUUUGGAAUUUCUAUUGGGAAAGCCUUAAGUUAUAUCUAAAUCUGUCUUGCCUAUUCACUAACAAUAUGGACCCACACACGCAAUAAAACGGCCACAGCUGUUGGCGUUUGUGUUCCUCAGAGACCUAGUUGUCAGCAGGAGGGCAUAGGCAGCGACUAGGAAGCCCUAGGAGGAGAGAAAGAAGAUAGGGAGGAGGAAUCGGGAGGCGGCGAGAGCCAGUAGAGGGGUCGGAGGAUGGCGCCGGUGAACAAGUCCAAGAAGGGUAAGCAUCAGAUCAAGGACUCCGACAACCUGAAGACCAUGGAAUCCAGCAAGUCGAAGGCGAAGGACUCUGGCAAGUUCAAGGGAGCCAAGCCCGGCUGCGCGGUGGCAGCGCACCAGCCGGACCUCCGUGACCCUGACAUGGAGUGGUGGUACGCCUUCCUCAGCAAGCAAAAGGAACGUCAAGCCGACUCAGUGCCUUCAGACGAGGAGGAAGCAUUCAGGUAUUUCUUCAGGACGUCGAGGAGUACCUUUGAUUACAUCUGCUCAAUUGUAAGGGAUGAUUUGAUCUCAAGGCCACCUUCUGGGCUGAUCAACAUUGAGGGAAGACUACUUAGUGUGGAGAAGCAAGUAGGAAUUGCCAUGAGGAGGCUGGCAUCCGGUGAUUCCCAGGUGUCGGUGGGAGCAGCUUUUGGUGUUGGGCAGUCUACUGUUUCGCAAGUGACAUGGAGGUUUAUCGAGUCGAUGGAAGAGAGGGCUCGGCAUCAUCUGGUGUGGCCGGACCAGGAGAGGAUGGAUGAUAUCAAAGCUAGCUUUGAGGUGGUGUCUGGUCUGCCAAAUUGUUGUGGCGCCAUUGAUGCCACCCACAUAGUUAUGACGCUUCCUGCUGUUGAUUCAUCGGAAGACUGGUGCGACCAUGCGAAGAACUACAGUAUGUUCCUGCAAGGGAUUUUUGACCAUGAGAUGCGAUUUAUUGAUAUUGUCACCGGUUGGCCUGGCAGCAUGCCAUAUUCACAAUUGUUGAAAUUUUCUGGAUUUUACAAGCUCUGUCAGGCCGGAAAACGCUUGGAUGGUCCUGCCCAAGUUUCAAGGGAGGGUGCACAAAUAAGGGAGUUCAUCGUUGGUGACAUGUGUUAUCCUCUACUCCCGUGGCUUAUGACUCCGUAUGGAGAAAGUCUGUCUGCCCCAAUGGUCGAUUUUAAUGCCCGUCAAAAUGCUGCAAGAAUGCUUGGAACAAGAGCAUUGGCACAGCUGAAAGGCUCCUGGAAGAUCUUGCACAAAGUCAUGUGGAGGCCUGAUAAGAAGAAGUUACCGAGUAUAAUUCUUGUGUGCUGCCUGCUUCACAAUAUAAUUAUUGAUCGCCAAGACCAACUACUUCCAUCUCUCGAACUUCCAGAACAUCAUGAUACUGGUUAUACUGAAGUGAACUGCCAGAAAAAGAAUCGUAAUGGUAAAGUGAUGAGGGAGGUCAUUACAGAACAUCUUCCAAGGUGUGAGACUAUUGAACUGAACAAGCCGACUGGAAGUGUUGUGUGAGAUGCAACGAUGCAUCUUUGUUUAAUUUUGUGAUAUUUCCUCAGUUUCCUUUGAGGUCAUCAGAUUUGAUGAUUACCUGUAACCUCUCCAGGAAUGGUCUGUGGCUACUUUGAAAGCAAACAACUACAUUUACCUGUAGUCUCUUCAGGAAGGGAUUUUGAAUACAUGGAAAUGAAUCAUCUUUUGGGACUGGGGAGCUAUUGUCAUUAGCUAUGCAACUUUGUCGUACUAGUGUUUAAUUUCCCUUAUAACUGAAUCCAUGUUAGUUAAUUAUGUAAACAGAAGUGCUCUGGCCCUUUAGUGAGUAUUGUCCGUACAUAUGAGUAUAUGACAUGCUUUGGGUAGUACUAGUUAUGAAUGCUUCACCACCUCAUCUUCAGUUGAUUACAUGGCCACGGUUUCUUACAUUAUUAUUUUUGGAGUUUGCCUUGCAUAAUGGUCAUCUACCGAACUGCCAAGGUUAUAACCUGAUAUUUCAGGAUUUCCCUUUUCCUUUUAGCGACUUUCUAUUAUUUCACUGAUAAGAUGGUCUAGAAUCUUUACAAUGUAAUGUAGCAAGUGCUUUCUGUGUAGCAAACCUACUUUGGUAGCACACAGCUGAUGGUUAUUAUAGUAGUCGGAGAUGGAUGUGUAGACAAAAGUUUUUUGUGUAGUUUCUUGAUAAGACUGAUGAGUAUCUGAUAGUAGAACACUAGAAGUAACUGGAUUAUCAUAAUUUAUGCAACUCAUCUUUUUUCUGUAAAGGUACGAUGGAACCUUAUACUAGCCUACUGGCUAAACUCAUAUAUUACGAUCUUCUCGAUCAGAUUUUUUAUCAGUGCUCUCUUGUGGAACUUGAGUCUUGUUUUUCAACUGUACAUUUCAUAGUUUAAUAUGCAUAUGAAAAAUUUGCCAUUUAUAUUUGCUGCCUAUGACGAUCAUGAGCUGGUGAGCGGUGAGCUAUUUCUGUGAAUAUCCUGGGUAAAUUAUAAGCAUCAUUACCAUAGUAAGGUGUGCUAUCCUGUUUUACUCUUAAAUUAUAAGCAACGUUACCAUUUAUAGUUAUCUAGGUUUAAUCAAGCAAGAAAGAAAUCUAUUCUCCCCCCAAAUAUUCUCUCAUCUAGCCUAUACCUACCUGAUCCCUCGCAGCCAUGAUGUCUGGCUAUCCUCAUAGGCUAGACGAGAGAAUAUUGGGGAGAAGAGAUUUCUUCCUUUUGCUUGAUUAAGCCUAGAUACAUGGCAUCCUUAUAUUGUGAUUGUUUAGGCACUUAACCUUUCCUACCUAGCAUGAUACAAACUAGAAGCGUAUAUUUCCUAAUAUGAUACUUCCAUCCUAGAUUUCCUAAUACAAUGCUACUGUCCAAAGCUGAUCUUUGUUUGUUCGUGCUCUCUGCUACCAGUCGAAAACAGAACCAGUGCUAUUCUAUUGAAUAGUCUUACAUUUGUCCCAUGAAACUGUCAUCAUGGUAUCUCCAAAUCAUUCCUGGCCUGUCCUGCACCCGAACUGUAAUCACAGACUGCUUCCUAAGUGAAAAUCCUAGGCCAAACAAUUUGCUUUUAGAAAAACAUGUUAGGUUGCUGGCUUGCUGCAGCUAUUUUAUGAGUGAAUUCAUGCUAUGCAAGCCAAGUCUCAAAUUAGUUGCAAACACAUUAUAUCAGAUAUCAUCUUGAGUUAAUUGGCUUAAAAAUGGAUGAGAAUCAUUGUCAUGCUGACUACAAUGCAUUGAUUUUUCAUGAAGAAUCGUAAUAUAACAUGGUGCAUAUACUUAGAAGACAUAGAUUAGUGCACAGGCGGGGAUAAGCACAGUGGCCAUUAAACUCGCUGCAUUCCUUGAGUUUCUGGAGCUUGAUGUUGCGUUUGAACCUGUGCUUCCUGCAUCAAAGUGAACAAUCUAGCGAAGUUAGUACCAAAAUUUUGCAUUCAACCAGAAUUGGAUAACACAUUGUUCAUCACAUUUUGUAAUGGAUGACACAUAUAUAGUAAUAAUAAUGGAGCAUCUGAAUAAAAAUCAGAUUUAAAUGUUAAGGCUUAUUAAUGAUUCCACCUUUAGGUGCAUCAGUGACUUCUUCGCUCGGCUCCUCUGGUGGAUCGUCACUGGAAGGCGGCGCUGUUGUUGGAGGAGCUGGAACGGCUUGAAUUUGGCAAGUCUGGUCUGAUGAGUUUAAAGAAGCGAUCUAUUGCUGCUUAUAGCGUGCAUUAUUGUUUCUCAUGAUAUUAACGUACCUGUGCACUGGCUAGUCGGUGGUGCUUGUACCUUGCAGUUGCCAGGGAGCUCGAGGGCCCUAGUAUGGUUGAUUGCGAUGCCGAAGGAUGUGGCGGUGCCGUCAAGGACCAUGCAGAGGCAGCGGGGGUCGGUCUGGACGACGCCGGCAAGCGUGGUGCAGCAGGAGAACCCAGGUUCCGGCGAUUUGCUCCCGAUGAAGUCGAGGCAUGGGGAGAGGGUCAUCAUCACGCUCGAGCAGCCGUUGUUCUGUGCCAUGGCCUUGGAGACCAGCACCAUCAUUGCCAGAACCAGCACAGCAGCUGCGAUCUGCAUCUUCCAUGCAGCCAUUCUCAGCUGCCAGCAGUUCGGCCCUCGGGACGAACAGUGCCGCAAAGCUAUGUCUCGAGAAAUGAAAAGGCUUCGAUGAAUUGACAGGUAGUGAUUCCUAAGGACAUUGGAGGAGGAGGAAUUGUAUGAUCCGUCUGUGCCGAAAUUGUUGGAAUGUUAUACCAGGAAGCUGCUGUUGUCUCCUGACCACAUACAUGUUUGUUCUAAAAAUGGCAUUUGUUACAGCAUUCUAUUUAUGGAAGUCGCUUGACGCAUAUGCAUAAGUUUAGGGGUAGUUUGUUGCUCCAGUGUAGGGGUACAACCAAUCACAGUUAUCUGCUGUUAUUAUUCCUGAAUCUGUAUUGUCAUUUUGAGUUUAUAUUUAAUCUGGAUUGUCAUUUUGUGUUUA